UACGGAAGGUCCGGGCGUUAUCCGGAUUUAUUGGGUUUAAAGGGAGCGUAGGCCGGAGAUUAAGCGUGUUGUGAAAUGUAGAUGCUCAACAUCUGCACUGCAGCGCGAACUGGUUUCCUUGAGUACGCACAAAGUGGGCGGAAUUCGUGGUGUAGCGGUGAAAUGCUUAGAUAUCACGAAGAACUCCGAUUGCGAAGGCAGCUCGCUGGAGCGCAACUGACGCUGAAGCUCGAAAGUGCGGGUAUCGAACAGG
rnacentral:rRNA from 1 species